rnacentral:rRNA from 1 species
AGAGUUUGAUCCUGGCUCAGAACGAACGCUGGCGGCGUGCUUAACACAUGCAAGUCGAACGGGCUCUUCGGAGCUAGUGGCGGACGGGUGAGUAUAACAUAGGUAAUCUGCCUUUAAGUGGGGGACAACCAGCCGAAAGGUUGGCUAAUACCGCGUAAUGUUGUCGGUUGGAAUAUUGACAAAGAAAGAUUUAUCGCUUUUAGAGGAGCCUAUGGUUGAUUAGCUAGUUGGUGGGGUAAAAGCCUACCAAGGCGACGAUCAAUAGCUGGUCUGAGAGGACGAUCAGCCACACUGGGACUGAGACACGGCCCAGACUUCUACGGAAGGCAGCAGUGGGGAAUUUUCCGCAAUGGGCGCAAGCCUGACGGAGCGACGCCGCGUAUGGGAUGAAGUAUUUAGGUAUGUAAACCAUUGUCAGUGGGGACGAAACAAAUGACGGUACCCACAGAGGAAGCAUCGGCUAACUACGUGCCAGCAGCCGCGGUAAUACGUAGGAUGCAAGCGUUGUUCGGAAUUACUGGGCGUAAAGAGUACGUAGGCGGUAUGGUAAGUCUGAUAUUAAAGACUGAGGCUUAACCUCAGGACUGUAUCGGAAACUGCCAAACUAGAGGACAAUAGAGGAAGUCGGAAUUCUCAGUGUAGCGGUGAAAUGCGUAGAUAUUGGGAAGAACACCAGUGGCGAAAGCGGACUUCUGGGUUGUUACUGACGCUGAGGUACGAAAGCGUGGGGAGCAAACGGGAUUAGAUACCCCGGUAGUCCACGCUGUAAACGAUGGAUACUAGGUGUAGCCGGUCUCGACCCCGGCUGUGCCGUAGCUAACGCAUUAAGUGCCCCGCCUGGGGAGUACGGCCGCAAGGCUAAAACUCAAAGGAAUUGACGG